AAAAUAAAUAAGACUUUCCCUUAUUUUUAUCUUUGUUGUUGUUCACUUGUGUCUGAUUCUUCAUGACCCCAUUUGGGGUUUUCUUGGCAAAGAUACUAGAAUGGUCUGUCAUUUUUAUUUUCCAGAUGAGGAAACUGAGGCAAACAGAUUAGGUGACUUGCCCAAGAUCAUACAGCCACUGCAUUUAUAUUUUAAAGAAUUGAAGCAAUUGCUAUGUGGAACAUUUCCCAAGACACCUUUCUACCUGGUACAAGUCCUCAGAGAUCAGUGUAAUACUCAAUCCAAUCCACUUGCUAUAACUCUAGUGGAUUCUCCUUGGGAGCAAAGAACAGCAAAGUUCAGUCUUCAAAUGGAAGCAGUUAAGUGGGAAGAACUGUGACAAGGGAAUCACUUUAAAAGACUGAUAUAUAUUAAUUUAAGGUCGCCAAGGAAUUCAGCUAUGUAAUUCCUAAAUGAAAACUCAAGUCAGCAGUAAAUCUUUUAUGGAGUUUAAUUACAAUAGGAGUAAGAAAGGAAUUAGAGAUAGAGAGAGAGAAAAAGGG
rnacentral:lncRNA from 1 species